rnacentral:rRNA from 1 species
AGAGUUUGAUCCUGGCUCAGGAUGAACGCUGGCGGCGUGCUUAACACAUGCAAGUCGAACGAACCUUCGGGUUAGUGGCGGACGGGUGAGUAACGCGUGAGAAUCUGCCCUCAGGAGGGGGAUAACGGCUGGAAACGGCCGCUAAUACCCCAUAUGCCGAGAGGUGAAACGAGUUUUCGCCUGAGGAUGAGCUCGCGUCUGAUUAGCUAGUUGGUGAGGUAAUGGCUCACCAAGGCAUCGAUCAGUAGCUGGUCUGAGAGGAUGAUCAGCCACACUGGGACUGAGACACGGCCCAGACUCCUACGGGAGGCAGCAGUGGGGAAUUUUCCGCAAUGGGCGAAAGCCUGACGGAGCAACGCCGCGUGAGGGAUGAAGGCCUCUGGGCUGUAAACCUCUUUUCUCAAGGAAGAAGACCUGACGGUACUUGAGGAAUAAGCCACGGCUAAUUCCGUGCCAGCAGCCGCGGUAAUACGGGAGUGGCAAGCGUUAUCCGGAAUUAUUGGGCGUAAAGCGUCCGCAGGCGGCCUUUUAAGUCUGUUGUCAAAGCGUGGAGCUUAACUCCAUUUCGGCAAUGGAAACUGGGAGGCUUGAGUGUGGUAGGGGCAGAGGGAAUUCCCGGUGUAGCGGUGAAAUGCGUAGAUAUCGGGAAGAACACCAGUGGCGAAGGCGCUCUGCUGGGCCAUAACUGACGCUCAUGGACGAAAGCCAGGGGAGCGAAAGGGAUUAGAUACCCCUGUAGUCCUGGCCGUAAACGAUGAACACUAGGUGUCGGGGGAAUCGACCCCCUCGGUGUCGUAGCCAACGCGUUAAGUGUUCCGCCUGGGGAGUACGCACGCAAGUGUGAAACUCAAAGGAAUUGACGGGGGCCCGCACAAGCGGUAGAGUAUGUGGUUUAAUUCGAUGCAACGCGAAGAACCUUACCAGGGUUUGACAUCCUGCGAAUCCCUUGGAAACGAGGGAGUGCCUUCGGGAGCGCAGAGACAGGUGGUGCAUGGCUGUCGUCAGCUCGUGUCGUGAGAUGUUGGGUUAAGUCCCGCAACGAGCGCAACCCACGUCUUUAGUUGCCAGCAUUGAGUUGGGCACUCUAGAGAGACCGCCGGUGAUAAACCGGAGGAAGGUGUGGAUGACGUCAAGUCAUCAUGCCCCUUACAUCCUGGGCUACACACGUACUACAAUGCUACGGACAAAGGGCAGCAAACUCGCGAGAGCUAGCAAAUCCCAUAAACCGUGGCUCAGUUCAGAUCGUAGGCUGCAACUCGCCUACGUGAAGGAGGAAUCGCUAGUAAUCGCAGGUCAGCAUACUGCGGUGAAUACGUUCCCGGGCCUUGUACACACCGCCCGUCACACCAUGGAAGUUGGCCACGCCCGAAGCCGUUACUCCAACCCUUGUGGAGGAGGACGUCGAAGGUGGGGCUGAUGACUGGGGUGAAGUCGUAACAAGGUA